rnacentral:rRNA from 1 species
GACGAACGCUGGCGGCGUGCUUAACACAUGCCAGUCGAACGGAAAGGCCCUGCUUUUGUGGGGUGCUCGAGUGGCGAACGUGUGAGUAACACGUGAAUAACCUGCCCUUGACUUUGGGAUAACUUCAGGAAACUGGGGCUAAUACCGGAUAGGAGCUCCUGCUGCAUGGUGGGGGUUGGAAAGUUUCGGCGGUUGGGGAUGGACUCGCGGCUUAUCAGCUUGUUGGUGGGGUAGUGGCUUACCAAGGCUUUGACGGGUAGCCGGCCUGAGAGGGUGACCGGCCACAUUGGGACUGAGAUACGGCCCAGACUCCUACGGGAGGCAGCAGUGGGGAAUAUUGCACAAUGGGCGGAAGCCUGAUGCAGCAACGCCGCGUGCGGGAUGACGGCCUUCGGGUUGUAAACCGCUUUCGCCUGUGACGAAGCGUGAGUGACGGUAAUGGGUAAAGAAGCACCGGCUAACUACGUG